UAUGCUACCGUUCAAUAAAGGUGUUGGUUCUGGGCUGUGCUGCUCUCUGUCGACCGAAGCAAGAGCCUCUUUUUUUCCCAAUUGGCUUUCCUUCUAAAACGUUGGAGUCUAGGCUCCCUUUUCUUUUAUUUUCUAAUUGGCUUUAACCUGUUAUAGCAAUGCUGGCACAGGUUUGUUCCCGCUUUCAUUUAUUUUCUGUUCAUUUCACUAGGGAACGUUUAUUUUUUUUUGACAUGGGCUUCGCGCCUGGAGGUUCUUGCUUCGGCCGGCAGAAAACAGACGACUCAGAACUGGCACGGAGCGGGGGAAUCCGACUGUCUAAUUAAAACAAAGCAUUGCGAGGGCCGCUGGUCGGUGCUGACGCAAUGUGAUUUCUGCCCAGUGCUCUGAAUGUCAACAUAAAGAAAUUUCAGAAAAACGCGGGUAGACUGCGGGAGUAACUAUGACUCUCUUGUGGCACCAGUCCGCUUAGGGCAGCCAGGGAGCGGGGUCAGGGCUUGGUGGGCAGCGGAGCUAUGGGGCUCCC
rnacentral:rRNA from 1 species